UCUUCGUCUUUUCCUCAUUGCAAAGGAAUUGAAGAGAAUGGGCAUAUAAGAGGGGGAUUUUAAGAUGGUUUGCCUGCCCCUGGAGCGUUCGAGAAGGAAAAGUCGCCGCAAAGGAAAAAUAUUUACGUGAAUGAACUGAAACUAAUAUUUCUGUAAUAAGGGAC